AUCAUGCCCAACAAGUGGGAACAAUAUUUUUCAAGACGCCACGGAAAUGCAAUGUGUUUGGUGUAUGUUGUGAGGGUUCAGAAAAACAAGUGUUCUACUUGAUUGAUGAGGCUGAGAACACAAGGAAGGGUGCUAAUUCUGUCAUAAGUAUGGUUCAACACUUUUUUCAACACCAUAAUAUAUGGAGAAAAAACAGCAUCCAUUCAUUUUGACAACUGCAGCGGGCAAAACAAAAACAAAUUUGUCUUAUGGUAUGCUCUCUGGAGAGUUCUUGUUUGACUCCAUAUCAUUGUGGAAUAUUUUGUGAUGGUGGCAGGACACACUAAAUUUGAUCCUGAUUGGCAUUUUGGAGUCUGGAAAGUAAAAUGGUGUUCCUCUACAGCAGAAACCAUGAAAUCAAUGAUACAGCAGACACAGUCCGUCAUUCAUCCCGCAGAGGCCAUAACAUUCCUCAGCUCAUGUCAGAUCCACAAACACCUGUGCAAUUUAGGGACUGGAAGUUCUUCAAACCCUUGAAAAACAUUUGAGGCUAUAAUCAUCAUUUCCGAGUAAGUGCUGAGACUCCUGGUGCUGUUGAAUGUAAGGAGCUCUGUAAUUCUGUUCCUUUGUGUGUUAAUCUCCUGAAAGAUCAGUAUAUUCUUCCCUCCAUAAAUGAUCCUCUGCCUCAAGAAAUCCCAGCACCUGGUCUUGAGCCCAAGAGGCAAUGGAAUCUAUAUGAGGAAAUCUGUGAAAAUUGUCUAUCACUCUCUGCUAAAGAAACAUCAUGUCCAAAACCAGUUGUACCAAAGAAAGAGAUGAAAGUUUAUUCACCUGAUCAUUCUGUCACACUUUUGGAAAAGGAAAAGUCUUCUCCUUAGAUGAAAGGGAGGAUUAUUGUGUAUGAGAAAG